rnacentral:rRNA from 1 species
GGUUGCGAUCAUACCAGCACUAACGCACCGGAUCCCAUCAGAACUCUGCAGUUAAGCGUGCUUGGGCGAGAGUAGUACUAGGAUGGGUGACCCCCUGGGAAGUCCUCGUGUUGCAACCC